CUUCUUCUCACCUCCAGAUGUCACGACUUCCAUCUGGGAACAACACCUCCGGGUGACGCGGGGUGACAACAGCAGGUGAUACAGCUCAAUUCCAAGUGCAUGCUGGGAAAUCUGCAUUAACAGGACUAACUCUCUCCUGACAGGAUCCACCGCAACACUUUGUUAGUUAGCUCUUCUCAGCCGACCCAAUUAUGAUGCUUCUAUACAGCUAUCUCCUGCCUCUGCUCCACAUUCCUGCAUCGCCGGCCCUGACCUCAAUACUUAGACCGGAGCGACGACGAUGAAGGGACGACUGGUGAAAGAGGAAAAAGACGGAGUAAGUGAGUAACGAACAGUGACAGUGCAUGAAGAACCUCUGAUCCAGCAUGAAAAUCGCCUCUCUUCAUGCUUUGUCCUCCUCUAAUGAUUCUCUGACAAACUGUCCGCCCGCAGGCCGCUUCACACAUCAGACGUUAGCAUGAAGACGCUGUCAUCUGUGGGCCUCCGUAAAAGAGGAACAAUUAGAGAAGAGUCUGCUGGUGGAUAAUAAACACAGAGCUGGUUCAACAGGACUCCUGUGGUUAGUCUGCUGAUCUAUUAAACAC
rnacentral:lncRNA from 1 species